UAUAUAUAAUCAGUGUGGAGACAUUAAAGAUUAGCAUACAUUAGAACUAGAACAUUUAUGCUUAGAAUAGCUUUCCUAAGACCAAAUAUUAUUGAAAAUACAUCAGUGUGGGACCUGUUGCCAUAGUGAAUUAUGUUUGAACUCAGUGACCCUAGCUGAAAGGAAUUGUGCUGAAAAUAUUUUAUUAAUAUGCAUGUAGCUGCCCAUGGGCCCAAUCUGAUACUUAACUCUUAUCCAUGGAUUUGAAAGUUGAUUAUUGUUGUUGAUGUAAAUGGUCUGAAUUCAU
rnacentral:misc_RNA from 1 species